AUUGAACGCUGGCGGCAGGCCUAACACAUGCAAGUCGAGCGAGCGGCGGACGGGUGAGUAAUGUAUGGGGACUGCCCGAUAGAGGGGGAUAACGACUGGAAACGGUGGCUAAUAACGAAUACUAUCGGAUAACCCAUAUGGUAUUAGCUAGUAGGUGGGGUAAAGGCUAACCUAGGCGACGAUCUUUAGCUGGUCUGAGAGGAUGAUUAGCCACACUGGGACUGAGACACGGCCCAGACUCCUACGGAGGCAGCAGUGGGGAAUAUUGCACAAUGGGAGCAAGCCUGAUGCAGCCAUGCCGCGUGUAUGAAGAAGGCCUUAGGGUUGUAAAGUACUUUCAGCGGGGAGGCGUUACCCGCUGAAGAAGCACCGACUAACUCCGAGCCAGCAGCCGCGGUAAUAC
rnacentral:rRNA from 1 species